GCGUUACUCCUGUAUAUACUCUCCGAGAAAGGAGAAAACUGGACAUGACGUGAGCUAGUGAGAAGACCCGUUUGACAUGGUAGUCGGCAAGUUUCAAAGAUUCGUCUGCGGUUUAGCUGGACAGGGGAAGUCCCCCCUCUCUCCACGGUCCUCCUACUACUCCCCACCCCCAGCACAGCGACGCAUCACCGCGGGAAGCACGCACCGGCUUAGGCAUCGCAAGCUCCCUAGCCCCCUUCUCACCCCACACGGCGAGAUCUUGGUCUGAUCUCGCUAGCGCGUGGUCAGAUCCACCACACCCGCUCACCAAGCCAUCGCGCGGCGGAGACCCGAUGUCGGCGGCGGUCGAGGAGCAGAUGGUAGUGAAAGCGAUCCGGGAGGAGUGCCCGUGGGAGUCCCUCCCCAAGCGUCUCCAGUCCACUCUCCACACCAAGGACGAGUGGCACCGCAGGAUUGUGGAUUAUUGCAUCCGAAAACGAUUACAAUGGAAUACCUGCUUUGCCCGUCGAGUUUACAGGGAAGGGGAAUACUAUGAAGAAAUGAUGCGCUAUCUCCGGCGCAAUCUUGCAUUAUACCCAUACCAUCUUGCAGACUAUAUAUGCCGAGUAUUGAGGAUCUCACCAUUCAGAUAUUACUGUGACAUCCUGUUCGAAACUAUGAAGAACGGUAAUCUGUUGUUAACAGCAAGAUUCUUUCAAAGAAUUCUAUCUUGUGCUGCAGUCCUACAGAUCAGUUUAAUUAUUUUCUGCUGGAAAAUUUCCACAUUUAUAAAGUAAUAAUGGAGGCAUCCUUUGAAAUCUGCUGGUAUCCCAGGUUGAUUCAAUUGUUUUUCAUCUGUUCAGUUUUGUAGAACAGGGAAAUGUAAUGAUAGGUGUGUGCCAGCCUUCACCCCCCACCCCUCAACCCCCACAAUUUUUUUUUUGGUUUUCCACCUCUUGCUUUAUCAUGGGCGUCUCAUGCACUUGGAGCAUGUCCAGCUAUCAUCACUCACUAAUGAUAGUAGAAGAAAAAUAUGGCUCUUCAGUCUUUUUGUAAAUUUCACAUACGUCCUAGUGUACAACAUGCCGGUUGCCAAUGGCUGUUGAACUCUCCUCCCCUGUCAUCCGCUCUCGGGCGCCUCCCUACAUGGAUCUCGGCUGUGCACUGGUGCUCACGGUGGUUGCGCUUGGGUUGUGCGUUCGCAACGACUUGGCUUCACUCCAUGCUCUUGGUAGCAAGCAAUAGCUCUCCCCCUCUUGUUAGCCAACAUACCUAACCUAGCAUGGCCUGGUGGACGCGGGCGGCUGCAAGAUUGUUGCUUGUGGAGCUGUGGUGCUCCUGCUGUUCAGGCUCGCGAGUGGGGCUGUGGACUAUGCUGGGCACUCGGAGCCCCGUCUGAUGGUGUCCUGGAUUAGGGGGUACUCACAACGUCGGCCUACCAUUCAUGGGUCGGGCUGAGGCCCACCGACAACCGAAGAAUGGGCCAUGACCCUCGGCAUACUCAAGAUUGAAUCUUUCGAAGACUUGGCGCACGCUUCAAGGCAUAUUCAAAUAUUCGACAUGUUUAUCUCUAGAUGCAACCGACCAUGUGUAACCCUAGGUAUCCUCGGCCCCUAUAUAAGCCGAGGGGUUUAGUCCAUAGAGGUAAGACUUUUAGACUCAUUCAUACGAUCUCGAGGUAGAUCAACCUGUACUUUAUACCCCAUCCACAGUCAAUACAAUACAAGCAGGACGUAGGGUUUUACCUCUUCGAGAGGGCUCGAACUUGGGUAAACACCGUCUCUCCUACUUCCUGUUACCAUCUAGCCGAGAUCACCAGCUCGGGACCCCUACCCGAGAUCUGCCGUAUUUAGCUCCAACAUUGCUGGCCUAUGCAGGUCCCACUGUGUGGUCACAAAGGCGCGAUGGCUCAUCUUCGGAUGACGACAACAUUGGCUGCGGGAAGACCUUCCUCGGACAACCUUUUGCCUUCGGCAGCAUUGUGCUGCACGCCGACUCAACUGGCCACCUCGGCUAGGUCGAGAAUCUCACCCCAGGCCAGACCAUCAGGUUUCGCAAUCUAGAGUAUGUCGUGACUCCCAUGGCGAGCUAACCGUUUCGGGCUGGGUGGCAGACCAGACUGGAGAUCUCACUGACGCCAUCGUCCUAGCACCAGAUUCAAUCUCGCAGCAGGGCCUCGGAACCGCCCAAACCUCAGGUCUAGCCUCUAGCUUGCAUCCGAGUACUACCCCGUCGAGUCAGACGUCAGAUCUUACCGACGCAACUGCCGAGGCUGCAUCCAGUGGCACCUCUGGCAAACUUUAGUUGAUCCCCGCCUACUUUUAGGAGAUGGGUGAGGCCGACAUCACCCUUCUGAACGAGAUGUUAGAUCGGAUUCAGGACCUUACUAUCUCAUACGAUCAUGCCUCGAUCUACGAUCAGAUCUGGGAGAAGGUUGGAGAGUUCGGAAUUUUCGGUCCACCCUCUACCCAUCUAGUCGCUACCGUCGAGGACUUAAACGAUGUUUUAGCAAGCACCUUCGAGGAGGCAGUCACCGGUGCAUGGUCGGCUACCUCCACCUAUGAUGUCUACAUGGUGGACACCCUUAAAGAUGGGGGAGGAAGCAGUAAACCACCCAAAUGCCGCUGAUGAGGCCGCCGUAAUGGUGGCACAGGCAACAACGACGCAAGUAAUGGGGGCACAAGUGGUGGUGAGAAGACCAACGGCGGCACCGCUCAUGACUGCAACAACGACCCGCAUGCCGGCGACGACCUCGGCGCGAACAAGCACAGUGACGACGCUAUCAAGGGAGACGACGUUGACCCAGCUGCCGCCGCUGCCUAUCUUCCCGAGGAGGAAGACGACAUGCCGCCGCUGCCUACCUUCAAGGAGCCUCGGCCAGAGACACUCCGCAAGCGCCUGACCAGCACGACCAAGAGCUACAAGAAAAAAUCCCAGCAACUCAGAACCGAUCAGGAUCAGCUCAAUGAUCGAUGGAUUGAGCUCCUGAGGGUUGAACAAGAACUCGAGGAUAGACAUGCCUUCGCUAAUUGGUUAUACCCCAAAAGGAACCUGCUGUCGGAGCUCGAUGGGGAGGCCGAUGGCAACGUGCUAUAAAAGCGCGACUGGGCCGAAGUGCCCGAUCGCCCUCCUCGCGGCCGAGAUUGGCCUACCGGCAGGAAUGAGGAAGUCUUCGAGACAACCGGGUGCCGAGGAGGAGUAAAUCCAACUCAGCCCCGCAAGAAAAAAAAUCUACGAGAGAGGCCACCAUUAAGGACAAAGCCUCCAUCUUGAUCAAUUUACAAAUCCAGGGAACGCCAGCCUGCUGGACAGGCGGGCUAUCUGGCUUGGCUCGCCAAGCAUGGUGAUGUACGAAACUACACGCGUGACCGACACGUUAUCGUGUCCGAUGCGCGUCAUGCUACAGCCAGGGGCCAAGGAGCUGCCCACCCUAUGUGCUUUACCGAUGAGGUUAUGUGGCACCAGUUUUCGUUAGGGUUUAAACCCAUAACAUUGAGUAGUAUGAAGGAACUACGGACCCCGCUAUGUGGAUCGAGGAUUUCCUCAUGCAUAUCCACAGGGCCUGAGGCGAUGAUCUCCACGCCAUAAAGUAGCUACCCUUGAAACUCAAGGGAUCGGCUUGGCAUUGGCUUAAUAGCCUGCCUAAAGAUUCAUCGGCAACUGGGGGGGACCUUGAGGAUGCUUACUAAGUAAAUUUCCAGGGCACUUACGCCCGACCCCUGGAUGCCGAUGACCUCGGCCAUAUCACAUAGAAGCCAGAGGAGUCGGCCAGAAAAUUCUGGAAUCGGUUCUUGACAAAGAAAAAUCAGAUAGUGGACUACAUGGCCGACAAGGCAAUCGCCGCUUUUAAGCACAACAUCCGCAAUGAAUGGCUCGCUAGAGAGCUCAGACAGGAAAAGCCUCAGUCUACGGCGGCCCUCACACUUAAUGCCUUGAUUCUGCGUAGCCGAAGACAACUGGCUAGCUCGGAAGAGUAACCGCAGUGGAGACCCAAGCACCUCCAAAGCACGCGAUGGGAACGAGAAGCCUCGGCGAAACAAGAAUAACAAGCGCCACAGAGCGUUUUGGUGUGGAAAACAGAGCGGUUGCCUCCCAUUCUCCUUUUGUCUUGAUAGUGCAUGCCUUCCUUUGCCUUUGGGGAUUACUCGCCGCGGGAAAGGCGGUACCAACGCCGCAUACGUCUUGGACCUUCGGUUGUCACGUAGUUAUCGGAUUCGCUAAAACAGCCUUUGAGUGCCGAUUCCGAUGGAUUGAUUUAGAACGGGGUUCAUAUUUGCUCAGAUCGCUAGUGAAUCAGCACCCAAUUCGUCGAACCCAAAAUGAACCAAAAAUAUGGAAUCGUUGGCUAACCUGGUGCGGGCAUGUGUGUAGCUGCUCGACCCUUCUACUGCUGGCCAGUGAAUAUGCAAUUGCGGCACAAACUUGGUGGCCGAGGAGCAGCGACCUCGACGCGGUGCAUGCAUGGUAGUGAUGCACGGCACAACGACGGUGACCAGGACGGGGUGGCGGGAGAACGACGACGACUGUCAAGACCUGGUGCGACAACGACGAAGAUAUCGAGUUUGACGGCUUGACUUCGUUCAGCAGCGCCCUGCUUUUCCGCAUCACGCCGCUUUAUAUAUAAAGCAAACACCAGAGCGAGAAAGAUACAACAGAUAAGUUCACACCACACACACACAUGUAGCACACAAACAUCGCACAACAGGGUUCUGCUGAGGUCACAACUCAACAAGCCCUAAACGAAAGAAAAAGGAAGCAGUGGCCAAGGGGGCGCCCCAAAAGGUCCAGAGCGGCACCCAAUACCCAAUCCAGAUCCGGAGGUGGUGGGGGAAGUGGAUGAGCCAAGCGGAAGGGCAACGGACGAAGAUCUGCAAUGAAGAUGUCGAUGGCGUCCCGAUCCUGCGGGUGGCUAAGCAGCCGCCAGAGCUGCAAAUAGCCACCCAUUUUGAAAAUCGCGUCAGUAGCACGUCGAAGAGGCGCACAUUGAAUCACAAGCCUAUUUCGGACCGUCCAUAGCGUCAGGGCCGGCCCUGGGGUAUGGCGGAUGGGGCGACCGCCUAGGGCCCAGGUCUGGUAGGGGGCCCAUGAUUGGUGAUGCAUGUAUAUGUAUAGCCCAGUAAAAAAAGUAGAAGGAGCAGCGUGAAUGCAUGAUGGACUUGGUGGCUGAUCGCUAGCGAGGAAAAGGUCAAGCGUCGCAUCGCUUCUCGCACAUCCAUUCAUCCGUAGGGAUCGCUACUUUCAAUCAAAGAAUAGAAAAACACAUCGCGAUCACUGCCUCAUCGUCUUUGUGUUCGUCGCUUGAGACUCAACCGUCGCUCCAGUUUCUUGCCGCUUGCCGCCGCUCAGCGCCCUGCUAGCUGCCGCCGCUACAGCCUACCGGCUGCCGGCCCUGGCUUCGCUCCCGAUUUUUGCUCUCUUGCACCGUGCCGUCGUUGACCCGUCUUGAUCUUGCCGUCCGGCCGUCCGUGAAGCUAAGAGUUCAUUGAUCACCGUCCUCUCAGUUUUUCAAAGAACAACCAUAUGAUAGUAUUCCAAACUUCACUGCUGCUGAUGCCCUAAGGCUGACUGGUAUUGGAAGAAAUGAAUUUAUUGAUAUUAUGAACAAAUGCAGAUCAAAGAAACUAAUGUGGAAGCUGAACAAAUCAAUCGCAAAAGAUUUACUGCCUACACAGCCUGUUGACUUCCCAGUCGAGCCUUGGUGGGGAGUUUGUCUGGUUAACUUUACAUUGGAAGAGUUCAAGAAACUUUCAGAAGAAGAAACAGCAACCAUAGACAAAAUCUGCAAAGAGGAAGCCAAUUCAUAUAUUCUUUUUGAUAUGAAGAUUAUAGAUGACCUCUAUAAAAGAGGGUUAGUGUACUUUGAUGUGCCUGUUUACACUGAUGACCGCUUCAAAGUUUCUAGGCUUGAAGGCUUUGUUUCUAACAAGGAUCAAUCCUAUGAAGACCCAAUCGAAGAGCUACUUUAUGCUGUAUUUGUUGUGUCAAGUGCUAAUGCUACUGUUGCUGAAUUGGCUGCAACUUUACAAGCUGACCUUUAUCAGCUGCAGGCAGCGGCAUCAUUUGCUUGCCGAUUGGGCUGGGCUGUAAAACUUGUGGAUGGUGACUCUGUAUUUAAAGACGAAGGUGAACCUCCAUCUCUCAGUAACAUUCUUAGUGAUGAUGAUGAAGGUUCAAAUGCAAGUAUCAACUCAGAAAAGUCCAAUCAACAGUUGCUUAGCAUCGAUACUAAUGGACCCAGGAGAAUAUCCGGGACAGCUCAUGUAGGUUUUGUUGUUGAUGCCAAUGUUACUUCAUACUUGAUGAUGGGUUCAUUGUCCCCAGGUCUAAAAUCUCAUGCUGUCACGCUGUAUGAAGCUGGAAAAUUAGGUGAUUCUUGCAUUGCGGAACUAUGCAGUGAUCUGGCUAGUUUAGAAGGAAAGAAAUUUGAGGGUGUGCUAGAGGAGUUUGCUAAUCAUGCAUUCAGUCUGCGGUGGUCCCUCGAGUGCUUAAAGUCCGGUGGAGUUUCUACCGAUGAUAGUACUGAUAAAGAUGGUGAAACAAAGACUCCAACAAAUUUAUUGCAUGAAAAUGUUACAGCCUAUCUGGCCAAUGCAAACAUCGAGGACAGAGCUGAGGAUGGCCUUGGUAAAGUGCCCCAGCAUAACUGCUCUACUGGUGUUUUAGAUAAUAAAGAUGAGAAUAUAUCAUCAGUGUCGAUGGGUUUACCAGAACGUGGGGAAAACAUGGUUAGAAUUGAGGCUCAGAAUGACUCAACUGGCACCAAUGUGUUGAUGAUAAAAAGGAAGUACACUGUUGAUGUCCUCCGAUGUGAGAGCCUUGCUUCACUUGCUCCAGCAACACUAGAACGGCUAUUUCUCCGUGACUAUGACAUUAUUGUGUCAAUGGUUCCUCUUCCUUCUUCAUCAGUUCUUCCUGGUCCUUCAGGCACGAUUCAUUUUGGUCCACCCUCUUAUUCUGCGAUGACACCUUGGAUGAAGCUAGUAUUGUAUACUGCAGGCCAUUCUGGACCACUAUCUGCUGUUUUCUUGAAAGGACAACGCUUCAGAUUGCUUCCUGAACCAUUAGCUGGUUGUGAAAAAGCAUUGUUAUGGUCUUGGGAUGGCUCUAUGGUUGGUGGACUAGGAGGGAAGUUUGAAGGGAAUUUGGUCAAGGGCAAUCUACUCUUACAUUGCUUGAACUCGAUGUUGAAGCAAUCUGCCGUGUUAGUGCAACCGCUUAGAAUAGAUGAUCUCAACGCAUCAGGAAGCCUUGUCACAGUAGAUAUCCCUUUACCCCUGAAGAAUGAUGAUCAUUCAAUUGCAUCUGUGGUAGCUCAAGCGAAUUUGCCAAAGGAACAGGUCUUUAAUUUGACCUCAGUACUGAAAGACCUAUCCAGUAAAUUUCAGUUGACCACGCUUGGCUACCUUCGUCUAUUAAGACUUAACAAUCUUGUCGAAUCGGAUAAGUUUCACCCAGAAAAUGCAAGUUACCAGUGGGUGCCCUUGAGUUUGGAGUUUGGAAUUCCCUUGUUCAAUCCAAACUUAUGUGAGAGGAUUUGUGAAAGGGUGGUUGCGUCUCGUAUACUUCAGAAAGAUGAUCUCACUGAACAUUAUGAUGUGAUGCAAAAUGUAAGGAGGCGUCUCAGAGAACUUUGUAGUGAAUAUCAAGCAACUGGACCAGUAGCUAAGUUAUAUAACAAGAGGGGAAGCUCAAGGGAUCUACCUCGCACUUUAAUCAAUAGUAUUAGUAGCAGAUGGGAUCCAGCAAAUGAUCCUUCAGCACCAACCAACACAAGAACCCCAAGUGAACACGAGAGGCUAAAACUUGCUGUCCGACAGAGAUGCGGCACAGAAGUUGUGGGCUUUGAUGGGAGGACUGUCAGGUCAUAUUCACUCUCUCCGGAGCAGGAAGAGGCUACCACCAAACACAUCUCUGACGAACAGUCAUCCACCCAUGAAGGAAAGCCAGAUCAAGAAGAUGCACACAGCAAGGAUGUAACCUUGCCAGGACUAAACCUUAUCUUUGACGGAGUUGAAUUACACCCCUUCGAUAUUGGUGCUUGUCUUCAAGCACGCCAACCUCUCUGGUUGAUAGCUGAGGCAUCAACAGUUUCAUCAACCCUCAUAUGAUGCGUCCAUGUGGUCAUCUCGCUUUUGCUCCAAUAUCUCCGUCUAUGCUGGUAAAUCAGAACUGAAACUGUUGCAACUAAUGCUUCUCGAAAGGCUUAUUUCAUUAAUCUCGACUCUUGAGGGAAUAUUUUGUUGUACAAAGGGUUCGGUGCCGUUUGAUGUGCCAUGUGAGGUCAGCUGAUGUCUUUCACAUGAAUGACCAAACAUUGCUCGGAGAUUGCAUUUGUCCAGUCCUUCCGUUUGCAUAAUUUGCAAGUAGACGUUUACGUUUUCAAGCCUUUUGCUCCUUUUUUUUUGUGCUAGCAUUGGGAAUUUCCGUCCCAAAGACCAAGGGGGGUUGGGUAUUUGUGACCUUAAAGUUAAGAACACUUCCCUUCUCAGUAAGUGGUUGUUUAAGCUACUGACGAAAGAUGGUGUAUGACAAACCCUCAUAAUGAGAAAAUAUGUUGGCUCAAAGGCAGUGUUCCAGUAUAUUGGAGGCCUGAGGACUCGUACUUUUGGGCUGGUUUAAUGGCUA
rnacentral:rRNA from 1 species